rnacentral:rRNA from 1 species
AAGUUUGAUGGCGACCGGCGCACGGGUGAGUAACACGUAUCCAACCUGCCGAUGACUCGGGGAUAGCCUUUCGAAAGAAAGAUUAAUACCCGAUGGCAUAGUUCUUCCGCAUGGUAGAACUAUUAAAGGAUUUCGGUCAUCGAUGGGGAUGCGUUCCAUUAGGUUGUUGGCGGGGUAACGGCCCACCAAGCCUUCGAUGGAUAGGGGUUCUGAGAGGAAGGUCCCCCCACAUUGGAACUGAGACACGGUCCAAACUCCUACGGGAGGCAGCAUG